ensembl:ncRNA F22B5.11 ncRNA
GGAGUAGAAGGGUGAGUAUUGUGGGCGCGAGUAGCAUAUGUGGGUGUGACUUUAAGACUGAGAGGACGUGGCGACUACGUGCCGAACGAGACGAUGCAUGCACACUGCUGCGCGCGCGCGGGUGCGAGAAGAAGCCCGCUUGUGCCCGGCAGUUUGCCUAUGUACAUAAAGAGACAGAGGA